rnacentral:rRNA from 1 species
CCUACGGGAGGCAGCAGUGAGGAAUAUUGGACAAUGGGCGAGAGCCUGAUCCAGCCAUGCCGCGUGCAGGAAGACGGCCCUAUGGGUUGUAAACUGCUUUUAUAGAGGAAGAAACACUCCUACGUGUAGGAGCUUGACGGUACUCUACGAAUAAGGAUCGGUAACUCCGUGCCAGCAGCCGCGGUUAA